GGAGGGGUGUCCGAGCGGUCGAAGGAGACGGUCUUGAAAACCGUUGGGCCCUCACGGGUCUCGUGGGUUCGAAUCCCACCCCCUCCGCCA
rnacentral:tRNA from 1 species